UUUCAGAAAAUCAAUGUCAUUAAAUACAGUUCAGCGCUACAUCUGUAAGUGCAACUCAAAACUCUACCAUGCAAAGCAAAUGCCAUUUAUCAACAACACCCAGAAAUGCCGCUGGCUUCUCUGGGCCUGAGCUCAUCGCAGAUGGACUGAUGCAAAGUGGAAAAGUGUUCUCUGGUCUGUUGAGUCCAUAUUUCAAAUUGCUUUUGGAAUUUGUCGACGUUGUGUCCUCCGGGCCAAAGAUGUUGAGAACCAUCCGGACUGUUAUGGACGCAAAAU